UAUCGUCGUCCAGAACCAGAACGAGUGCCUUGUAUCGUCGUCUACAGCGCUGCAUGGUGUUUGAUACGAGCUCCAUUGUUCGACGGACGAUUUGUUUGUGCUGUGGAAGCGAUUGAAAAUUUCUCUAAUCGCAUAGAAAAAUCCUGGUUAAUUCUAAGGUAAUUCCGACUAAUCAUAUUUUGUAAGACUAAUUUUCAACAAUUUGGGGUUUAGAUUUUCUGGGCUCCGAUUGUUGUAGUCGCUAACUGGGUUUGUAUCAAAAUUUCAAACUUCAAUCAUAUUGUUAGAUUUAUUCAAUACUUUAAUUCAAUGAAGUUGAAUUUGAAAAUUGUUCAUAUAUACCAGUGCUAUAUUUUCAACAAUUUUGUUGAUAUGAUUAUGCAAAAUUUUGAAUUAGACACAGUGGAUUAGUGGACUGGACGGUUCCAGUUUUCUAGUGCAUGAAAACCCUAAAUCUUCAGUAG
rnacentral:lncRNA from 1 species